UGGGGAAUAUUGCGCGAUGGGCGAAAGCCUGACGCAGCGACGCCGCGUGAGGGAUGAAGGUUUUCGGAUCGUAAACCUCUGUCAGAAGGGAAGAAACCGCACUGUGCUAAUCAGCAGUACCUUGACGGUACCUUCAAAGGAAGCACCGGCUAACUCCGUGCCAGCAGCCGCGGUAAUACGGAGGGUGCAAGCGUUAAUCGGAAUUACUGGGCGUAAAGCGCACGUAGGCUGCUUUGUAAGUCAGGGGUGAAAUCCCACGGCUCAACCGUGGAACUGCCUUUGAUACUGCUUAGCUUGAAUCCGGGAGAGGGUGGCGGAAUUCCAGGUGUAGGAGUGAAAUCCGUAGAUAUCUGGAGGAACAUCAGUGGCGAAGGCGGCCACCUGGACCGGUAUUGACGCUGAGGUGCGAAAGCGUGGGGAGCAAACAGG
rnacentral:rRNA from 1 species